AUUGAACGCUGGCGGCAGGCCUAACACAUGCCAGUCGAGCGGAUGAAGGGAGCUUGCUCCUGGAUUCAGCGGCGGACGGGUGAGUAAUGCCUAGGAAUCUGCCUGGUAGUGGGGGAUAACGUCCGGAAACGGGCGCUAAUACCGCAUACGUCCUGAGGGAGAAAGUGGGGGAUCUUCGGACCUCACGCUAUCAGAUGAGCCUAGGUCGGAUUAGCUAGUUGGUGGGGUAAAGGCCUACCAAGGCGACGAUCCGUAACUGGUCUGAGAGGAUGAUCAGUCACACUGGAACUGAGACACGGUCCAGACUCCUACGGGAGGCAGCAGUGGGGAAUAUUGUACAAUGGGCGAAAGCCUGAUCCAGCCAUGCCGCGUGUGUGAAGAAGGUCUUCGGAUUGUAAAGCACUUUAAGUUGGGAGGAAGGGCAGUAAGUUAAUACCUUGCUGUUUUGACGUUACCAACAGAAUAAGCACCGGCUAACUUCGUG
rnacentral:rRNA from 1 species